rnacentral:rRNA from 1 species
AAAUAGAUACCCAGGUAGUCCACGCCGUAAACGUUGGAUACUAGGUGUGGCGGUUAUACCAAUGACUGCCGUGCCGAAGCUAACGCAUUAAGUAUCCCGCCUGGGGAGUACGGCCGCAAGGCUAAAACUCAAAGGAAUUGACGGGUCCCCGCACAAGCGGCGGAGCAUGCGGCUUAAUUCGAUGCAACUCGAAGAACCUUACCUGGGUUUGACAUCACGGGAAAAGCUGUAGAAAUACAGUGUCCAUUAGGGCCCGUGACAGGUGGUGCAUGGCUGUCGUCAGCUCGUGUCGUGAGAUGUUGGGUUAAGUCCCGCAACGAGCGCAACCCUUGUCCUAUGUUGCCAGCGGUUCGGCCGGGGGACUCAUAGGAGACUGCCGGGGGAUAACUCGGAGGAAGGUGAGGACGACGUCAAGUCAUCAUGCCCCCUUAUAUCCAGGGGCUGCACGCAUGCUACAAUGGCCGGUACAACGGGGCAGCGACCCCGCGAGGGGUGAGCGAAUCCUAAAAACGCCGGUCCUAGUUCGGAUUGAAGUCUGCAACUCGACUU